rnacentral:rRNA from 1 species
AUUGAACGCUGGCGGCAGGCUUAACACAUGCAAGUCGAGCGGGGGGAGGUAGCUUGCUACCUAACCUAGCGGCGGACGGGUGAGUAAUGCUUAGGAAUCUGCCUAUUAGUGGGGGACAGCAUUUCGAAAGGGAUGCUAAUACCGCAUACGCCCUAAGGGGGAAAGCAGGGGAUCUUCGGACCUUGCGCUAAUAGAUGAGCCUAAGUCGGAUUAGCUAGUUGGUGGGGUAAAGGCCUACCAAGGCGACGAUCUGUAGCGGGUCUGAGAGGAUGAUCCGCCACACUGGGACUGAGACACGGCCCAGACUCCUGCGGGAGGCAGCAGUGGGGAAUAUUGGACAAUGGGGGGAACCCUGAUCCGGCCAUGCCGCGUGUGUGAAGAAGGCCUUUUGGUUGUAAAGCACUUUAAGCGAGGAGGAGGCUACCGAGAUUAAUACUCUUGGAUAGUGGACGUUACUCGCAGAAUAAGCACCGGCUAACUCUGUGCCAGCAGCCGCCGUAACAC